UACGUACUCCCUCCAUCCGGAAAUACUUGUCAUCAAAAUGGAUAAAAGGGGAUGUAUCUAGAUGUAUUUUAGUUCUAGAUACAUCCCUUUUUUAUCAAUUUUGAUGACAAGUAUUUUCGGACGGAGGGAGUAAUUA
rnacentral:pre_miRNA from 1 species